AGCUCCGCCGGGAGGGCGGCCGCAUUCCUGGGCGCGCUGGGGCUGGAAUUGGUACAUUCCUUUCAUAACUCCCGCGUGGGGGCGGGGGCCUGAGCGGAGAGUUGGUGAUUAAAGGGAGGAAGAAUGAAGCUCUGCGGGGCUGGGUGCAGGCCCAGAGCUGGAGGCCAGGAACAUGUGAGCGGCGUCCCAGGAGCCCAGGGAUGCAGGCGGAAGCCAUCCCGCCCACGGGUGGUCUGAGCUCAGAAAUGGUGUUCCAAGAGCUAGGUUUUGCUGUCACCCUGAGAAAGAAAAUAUCGCCUGCCGUGUCAAUAAGCAAAGGAGGUUACAGCGAUCAGUGGUUCCAGCUGCGAGAGCCGGUGAGCCCCAAGGGAACCCAGGGAGGAAACAAAGAACACCUGCCAUCUAGCGGCCGUCGGACUGCAGCUGUUCUGGACGGUGAGCCCUGAGGUUGGGAAGCACAGGAUGCAGGUCCCAGAGAGCUGAACUGCAAAUCACAGGAAUGAUUUCAGUGAGCCCUGACAUGUGUUUUCCCAUAUACAGAAAAGCGCUGCAUUCCUUAACUCGAGAUACCUAUUUUUUUUUUUUUUUUUUUUGUCUUUUUAGCUAUUUCUUGGGCCGCUCCCGCGGCAUAUGGAGGUUCCCAGGCUAGGGGUCGAAUUGGAGCUGCAGCCACCGGCCUACGCCAGAGCCACAGCAACGCGGGAUCCGAGCCGCGUCUGCGACCUACACCACAGCUCACAGCAACGCCGGAUCGUUAACCCACUGAGCAAGGGCAGGGAUCGAACCCUCAACCUCAUGGUUCCUAGUCGGAUUUGUUAACCACUGCGCCACGACGGGAACUCCCGAGAUACCUAAUUUUCUUUUAUCGACAGUAAUCUUUUGUUCCGAUGCCCUGCCCUUUGUUGCAAAACUCCUGUAUCUCCUGGCACCCCCCCUGCCUCCUCUGAGCUGUCUCAGAGCUAUCUGAGAUGCUGUGUCCUGGACGUAAGUCCUCAAUUUUGUUCCCCGAGGAAAACAUAGCUCUCAGCCUUUUGGUUGUGCUUAUUUUUUAGUUGACAACCCCAUUCUGCAGAGAUGAAGGCGGUUGAGCAGUUUGCUCUCUGUGCCUGGUACCAUUAUUGUAGCAGCAACAGCCUUUGCAAAGCGCUGGCCCUUCCCAGGUGCUUCUGCUUGCCUGAUGCCCCCGUCUCCCAUAGCUGAGUCCCAGCCUCCUGAGGCCCCUAGGACUCUGCCCCUUCUCUGGGCCUUGUGUGUGCAGGCCCACUUGCUUAUGGUGGGGCUCCCUUCCCUAGCUGAGCCACACUUUCCCCUGAGUGUGGGCCUGAGUCCCACCUGUGUUAGGCCAAUGGGCAGGGGGUCCAGUUCCUGGGACGCUCUGACCCAUAGGUUAAGUCAUGGCCCCACUUGAGUGAGAACAGGGCAGAAGCCACUGAAUCUGAUCUGGCUCCAGGUGGAUACUGAGGCAGGGGGUGAGGGGGUUGCCUCUGGUGAGGGGACGUCCAGCAUGGCUGGGACACCUGUGGCCGUGCUGAAGAAGACAACUAGUUCAGGCUCUGGUGGCCCUGGCUGGGCUGGCCGCGAGGAUGCAGGCUCUGCUGUGUGUCUGAAGACAGCCCUGGGUGGGGGAUGGGGGUGCUGGCAGAGCAGUGAUGCAAGACGUAUGUGGGGGGCACUGGGUGGGCUGUGAAAUCUCCCCACGGGCAGAGGGUGAGUUGCAGAGGAAAGAGUGGCAGCUCACCCCAUGCCCCAUUGCAGGUCCUGUCUGCUCAGCCAUCAUUCUCUUCCAACCCCUGGUCAGCCUUUCUUCUAGACCUGCGAGCUCACUGUGUGACCUUGCACAGCCACUUGACUCCUUUCUGUGUCGGUGAGCCCUAGUGGUCCUGGUGUUUUUGUCACAGAGAGUCACUCAGCAAACGUGCUGGCUCCUCUGGUCCUGCCAUCAUCAUCUCCUUCCUCCUGUCCAUUUGCUUAUCACCAUGAGCAUCCGCACCCAUCGGCUGUCCGAGGGCAGAAGCUAAGUCACUACCCUUUGUGCUCACAAAAGCCCUCCACAGUUUAGCAGCAGUGGUUCUAGGGGUUGGUCCAGGGAACCUGACCCCCACGACCCUUAGAGGGGGUCUUUGAGGUGACAGCUGUGCUCAUGACAAUGCUGGGAGGGGGUUUCCUCUCUCGUCCUCUCCUGAGGGUACGGCAGCAUUUUCAGGAUGAGCCAUCAGGUACUGUCCCAGCUCCCACAGCCAGUGAAACCCGGGCUGUGUAUCUUUGUCUUCAAAGUCUCUCAGUUCUAACUGAAGUUAAUUCAUUGAAAAAGGGAUCAUGAGACCAAAAUGUUUGAGAAUUUCAACUGGGUUCAAAUCCAGGUUCUGUCCCCGAAGGUCUACAAAGCCUGGAGCAAACACCUGACUGUGGACCUGAAGCUCCUUUUCUUGAAGAGGGCAAACUGGCACUGUCUUUCUGGUGCCCACGUGGGCAUGUAAAGAAAGCCCUGGACCCUGUGUCCUCUGGGGGUGCGGAUGGUGCCCUCUGAGGCCUGGUGCCCAUGGGUUCAGGGGACUCUUAGCAGCUACUCAGAGCCCAGCAAACCAGAAGCGCGAGCUCCUGCCCCAGAGCGUUCAUCCCGCCUGGCACCUUCCCCAGGCGGGCACACAGCCAGCAUGCUUUCCUGCAUGGCCGAGGUAUGAGAAAAGUAACACAUUGGUUGUUGAUCUUGCUGGAAAAGGCCUGGUUUUAGAAAGCAGUGUGUUUUGAACUUGUUGGGAAGUACAUUCUGUAAUUCACCAAAAUACCAACUGACGUAAAAGCAGCUCCUUCACGGAAAAAAUAUUUCACUUGGAGAUGGACCCCUGGACACCGAUGGAGGGUAAAGUGCCUCCUUCUCCAGCCAGAGCCGACCGCCCGGAGCCGAGCCCGCCUGAGUCAGCCUUCAUGGCCUGGGGCCUGGCUGCCGCCCCCAGGGGCAGCCACAGGGGAAGCUAUUCCAGCUGAAAAGAGAAUUCAGCUUGGUGGCCAGUUACAAAAUAAAUAUACAAAACCUGCGGCUUGCCCA
rnacentral:lncRNA from 1 species